rnacentral:rRNA from 1 species
AGUAAUGUCUGGGAAACUGCCUGAUGGAGGGGGAGUAACUACUGGAAACGGUAGCUAAUACCGCAUAACGUCGCAAGACCAAAGAGGGGGACCUUCGGGCCUCUUGCCAUCAGAUGUGCCCAGAUGGGAUUAGCUAGUAGGUGGGGUAACGGCUCACCUAGGCGACGAUCCCUAGCUGGUCUGAGAGGAUGACCAGCCACACUGGAACUGAGACACGGUCCAGACUCCUACGGGGAGGCAGCAUG